rnacentral:lncRNA from 1 species
AGACAGGCCGACCUAAGAGAGGAGGAGGAAGGAGUGGAGUCAUGGAAGUCCAUUUUAUAAUCUCAUACCAAACAGGAUGCUGGAGGAAGUCUCUGGGGGCUUUACAUGCCCAAGAAUUAGUGCAGCAGUGGGAGAAGUGAUGGAAAGCUUGCAGAAGAUAGAGGACCAAGGGACUGACCUUCAGAGCAAGAGAGACUAUGACUCCACAUACAAGGUUACUGCCUUAUGGUUACAAGACGACUGCUACAGGUCUACGCAUCAGAGCAUCUCAUGUCCUCACUCAAGGCAGGAAGAAGAGUGAAGGAGC